GCCUGGCUGGCUCAGUCGGUGGAGCAUGUGACUCUUGAUCUCGGGGUCGUGGGUUUGAGUCCCAUGUUGGGUG
rnacentral:tRNA from 1 species